AAAACUCACCAGGUCAGGACACGGUAAGGAUUGACGGACUGAAGGCUCUUUCUCGAUUCCGUGGAAAGUGGUGCAUGGCCGUUUUUGGUUGGUGGAUCGAUCCGUCUGGUUAAUUCCGUUAACGAACGAGACCUCGGCACUCCGAAUAGCGCGGCGGACGUCGCGGCCUCCGGGCCGUCUUCCGCACGAGCUUCUUAGAGGGACCGUCCCCCCGCCGGGGAAGGAGGUGCGAGGCAACGACAGGUCUGUGAUGCCCUUAGAUGUUCUGGGCCGCACGCGCAUUACACUGACGCGUCCAACGGGUGACUCCCGACCCGAAGGGGCCGGGGAAUCCGCAAGGCGCGUCGUGAUGGGGAUUGAACGUUGCAAUUGUUGUUCACGAACGAGGAAUUCCUAGUAGGCGCGGGUCAUCAACCCGCGCCGAUUACGUCCCUGCCCUUUGUACACACCGC
rnacentral:rRNA from 1 species